ACACAACAACACCUUCGCCUUCGCAAAAGGCAAAAAAAUAUAAACCGAAAAGCCAGAGCGUCAGAGCGUAGGUUUCGGCGCCGCGCCUGUAUGUAACUGGAUGUGUUGUGUGUAUUUUGUAUCUUUGCGUGAGCAAAGAGUAUCUGACGGAUGCGUAGGCCGGUCUGCUGUCCAGGUUUGGCUGCCACGAAGUCUUCAGACCGCACCGGAGUUCAAUAAGCCAAUAAACACAACACGCAACCCAAUCGAUGGAUCGAUGUAGCAUCCGAGAUCUUUUGUGAAAGUGCCAGAAAGAUACCCGAACUCCCAGAGACAACAACCGGGGCAAUACGAUCAUAAAGCAAAACUCAAAUUGGCUAACCAAACAUGGGUGUCGGAUGCACAAUUAAAAUUUGAAUGGCAUCUGAGACACUGGUUAGUCAGCACAUGAUCGCCAUGUUUGUAGCAACAUCGUCUAGCCGAGCGGUACGUGGGCGACUCCACCGCCGGAUCUCUGAGUAAGCUCCAUUGGGAUCAAGAUUUAUUCGCAAUAAUACUGAACUCAAUGGCCCAAUUGAUUUAUAACGGCCUUUGCGGUGGGUGAAAAUUGAAAUGUUCCCCCAAGUGGAUGUGACCAAAUGUGGCAGCCAGCCAUAGAGCAAGUGAUCUAUGCAAUUGCACUCAGACUCACUCAGGGGUAGAAGAAAGAGUAACCCGGGUGGAGGUCUCACUGAUUCGACCUUCAAGCUACUAGCUACAUAGCAAGCUAUCAAGAAAAGCAAACCGAAAUUCUUACUUAAUUCAAACCUGACGUCAUACGCGGCGUAUAAGUAACGAACGAAAAAGCAACCGAAACCAAAGCCCAUUUUCAUGCGAAGCCAAAAGCAAUCAAAACUUGUUUGCUGGCCCGGGUACACAAAAAUAAAAUCACACAAAUAGAAGUAAGACACAAAUGCAAAAUUAAAGUGGAAAAUAAAAACGGUGACCACAGUGGAACCUGCUUAGCAAUUCA